rnacentral:tRNA from 1 species
UCCCAGGUGGUCCAGUGGCUAAGACUCUGCACUCCCAAUGUAGGGGGCCUGGAUUCAGUCCCUGGUCUGGGAA